rnacentral:rRNA from 1 species
GAUGAACGCUGGCGGCGUGCCUAAUACAUGCGAGUCGAGCGAACGGACGAGGAGCUUGCUUCUCUGACGUUAGCGGCGGACGGGUGAGUAACACGUGGAUAACCUACCUAUAAGACUGGGAUAACUUCGGGAAACCGGAGCUAAUACCGGAUGAUAUAUUGAACCGCAUGGUUCAAUAGUGAAAGACGGUCUUGCUGUCACUUAUAGAUGGAUCCGCGCUGCAUUAGCUAGUUGGUAAGGUAACGGCUUACCAAGGCAACGAUGCAUAGCCGACCUGAGAGGGGGUCCGCCCACCUGGGACCUGAGCACCGUCCCAGCCCCUGAGGGAAGGAAGAGGUAGGGAUCUUCCGGAAAUGGGCGAAAGCUUGCCGGACAAACGCCGCGUGAGUGAUGAAGGCCUCCGGUUCGUAAAACUUUGUUAUAGGGGAAAACCAUAUGUGUAGGUAAUUGUGCCGUCUUGACGGUAACCUAAUAAGAAGGCACCGCUAACUUCGUG